rnacentral:rRNA from 1 species
UACAGAGGGGGCAAGCGUUGUUCGGAAUUACUGGGCGUAAGGGCGCGUAGGCGGCCUGUUAAGUCGAACGGGAAAUCCCUGGGCUCAACCCAGGAACUGCGUCCGAUACUGGCAGGCUUGAAUUCGGGAGAGGGAUGCGGAAUUCCAGGUGUAGCGGUGAAAUGCGUAGAUAUCUGGAGGAACACCGGUGGCGAAGGCGGCAUCCUGGACCGAUAUUGACGCUGAGGCGCGAAAGCCAGGGGAGCAAACGGG